AGGGCACCACCAGGAGUGGAGCCUGUGGCUUAAUUUGACUCAACACGGGAAAACUCACCCGGCCCGGACACCGUAAGGAUUGACAGAUUGAGAGCUCUUUCUUGAUUCGGUGGUUGGUGGUGCAUGGCCGUUCUUAGUUGGUGGAGCGAUUUGUCUGGUUUAUUCCGAUAACGAACGAGACUCUGGCCUACUAAAUAGAGACAGGAUUAUUACUGUCCUGGAUUCUUCUUAGAGGGACAAGUGGUUUUCAGCCACACGAAAUUGAGCAAUAACAGGUCUGUGAUGCCCUUAGAUGUCCGGGGCUGCACGCGCGCUACACUGAAGGAAUCAGCGUGCUAAAACCAUUGUCGAAAGGCAUUGGUAAACCCCUCAAAAUCCUACGUGAUUGGGAUCGGGAAUUGCAAUUAUUUCCCUUGAACGAGGAAUUCCCAGUAAGUGUGGGUCAUAAGCUCGCGUUGAUUACGUCCCUGCCCUUUGUACACACCGCCCGUCGCUGCCCGGGACUGAGCCGUUUCGAGA
rnacentral:rRNA from 1 species